rnacentral:lncRNA from 12 species
CAUUGUUAGAGUUAAUGCUGUUUUUAAGAUGGGAAAAGAAAUGGCAUGAGGUGACGUAUGUUAAUAUGUUUUUCACUUUGCAGAAUCAUCCAGAAUGGCAGAAAGAUUGUGGGUUGAAUCCAAUGCCCUCAGACCCUUUUUUGCUGUGUCUUGAAAAAGAGAAUCAAGGAGAACAGUUAAAAUGUUGUUCUAUAUACAGCAUCGGGCAAAUUUGUUCUAAACAUCUCACUGAUAAGAAUAGUCUCAAGGGAGGAAGAAAGCCACCUCCAGGACUAGUAAAACAGAAGAAUUCACCAGGUAAUUAUUAGCAAAUUGAUUUUACGGACCUGCCCAGGCAGAAUGGGGAGCAUUUUGGUACU